rnacentral:rRNA from 1 species
GACGAACGCUGGCGGCGUGCUUAACACAUGCAAGUCGAACGAAGAGCGACGGAAGCUUGCUUCUAUCACUCUUAGUGGCGAACGGGUGAGUAACGCGUAAUCAACCUGCCCUUCAGAGGGGGACAACAGUUGGAAACGACUGCUAAUACCGCAUACGAUCUAACCUCGGCAUCGAGGAUAGAUGAAAGGUGGCCUCUACAUGUAAGCUAUCACUGAAGGAGGGGAUUGCGUCUGAUUAGCUAGUUGGAGGGGUAACGGCCCACCAAGGCGAUGAUCAGUAGCCGGUCUGAGAGGAUGAGCGGCCACAUUGGGACUGAGACACGGCCCAGACUCCUACGGGAGGCAGCAGUGGGGAAUCUUCCGCAAUGGACGAAAGUCUGACGGAGCAACGCCGCGUGAGUGAUGACGGCCUUCGGGUUGUAAAGCUCUGUUAAUCGGGACGAAAGGCCUUCUUGCGAAUAGUGAGAAGGAUUGACGGUACCGGAAUAGAAAGCCACGGCUAACUACGUG